AAAUAACCCGUCGUGCACUCACGGGGAACGUGCACAAGCACUACAAUAAACAAUCCCACACAAAGACAUGGGGGAAACAGAGGAUUAAAUACACAACAAGUACAUGAGGGAAUUGAAAUCAGGUGUGUGGAAAAACAAGACAAAACAAAUGGAAAAUGAAAAGUGGAUCGACAAUGGCUAGAAGACCAGCGACGCAGAGCGCCGCCCGAACAAGGAGAGGACCCGACUUCGGCGGAAGUCGCAACAAUGAGACAAUAUACAAAUGUUUUUGAGAAAGAUAAUUUGAAAAAUAAAAUGUUGUUGAGUAAAUUAAAGGUUAUUUGUUGAUGUAAAUAUCAAAAUGUAGUGAUUUUAAGUUUGUGUCAUUAUAUUUGGGGUAGGGUGGGGUUGCAAGAAAUUCUUGCGAAUAAAAAUUGGGUUCCACUGGUGUGGGUCAUUUAACUCUGGAGGUGACAAGGUUUGCAAAUUCAAAUAUACAUUUCCCAAGUUUGUUUGGAGAGCUAUGGUAUAUAAACAUGAUUCAUUAAUUUCAGUUUAUAUGGAGACAAUGUUUUAUCAAGCAAUGAUACCCAGCUGUUAACUUAAACAAAGUAGUGUAUUGUACUUCUGUCUGAGCUCACGUCUUUAGAUUAGAUGACUAGCGGCAGAGCCCAAAGAGUUAAAGAAACAUCCUGUGUCAUCUGUGAUGUCAGCUGCAGGUUAACCUAUGGUAGGUUAACCUAACCUAUUGAUCAUUAAAAAAAACAUUCGCAAUUAUGUUAGCACAGCUGAAAACUGUUGUUAGGAUUAAAGAAGCAAUUAAACUGUCCUUCUUUAGACUGUUGAGUAUCUGGAGCAUCAGUAUUUGUGGGUUCGCAAAACACCAGUCUCAACAUCAACAGUGAAGAGGGGACUCAGGAAUGAUGGCCUUCUAGGCAGAGUUGCAAAGAAAAAGCCAUAUCUCAGACUGGCCAAUAAAAAGAAAAGAUUAAGAUGGGAAAAAGAACACAGACACUGGACAGAGGAACUCUGCCUAGAAGGCCAGCAUCCCGGAGUCGCCUCUUCACUGUUGACGUUGAGACUGGUGUUUUGCAGUUAAUGAAGCUGCUAGUUGAGGACUUAUGAGCCGUCUGUUUCUUAAACUAGACACUCUAAUGUACUUGUCCUCUUGCUCAGUUGUGCACCGGGGCCUCCCACUCCUCUUUCUAUUCUGGUUAGAGACAGUUUGCGCUGUUCUGUGAAGGGAGUAGUACACAGCAGUGGCAAUUUCUCGCAUGGAAUAGCCUUAAUUUCUCAGAACAACAAUAGACUGACGAGUUUCAGAAUACAUUUUCUGUUUCUGCCCAUUUUGAGUCUGUAAUCAAAUCCACAACUCCUGAUGCUCCAGAUACUCAACUAGUCUAAAGAAGGACAGUUUAGUUGCUUCUUUAAUCAGCACAACAGUUGUGAUAACAUAAUUGGAAAAGGGUUUUCUAAUGAUCAAUUAUAAACUUGGAUUAGCUAACACAAUGUGCCAUUGGAACACAGGAGUGAUGGUUGCUGAUAAUGGGCCUCUGUACGCCUAUGUAGAUAUUCCAUAACAAAUCUGCCGUUUCCAGCUACAAUAGUAUUUUUAAAAUCAAUUUGAUGUCAUUUUAAAGUGCUUUUCUUUCAAAAACAAGGACAUUUCUAAGUGACCCCAAACUUUUGAACGGUUCGUAGAUAUAUAUAUAUAUUAUUUUACAAAUAUUUGAUAAAAUAUGGAAUUUUGCUUUUACUACUAUAGCCCAGAGAAACGCAUUCAAUAACACAUUCAUAAACACACAUUUACCCCUUUUGUGGGAAGGCACAAAACUACCUUCAUACUUCCAUUAAUUUUGUUAAACAGGUACUAGUUACCUUCAGACAAUGUGCCAACUUUGUGUUUGUGACAAACAGUUUGCCCAAACAGUUUGGACUCUACAAACAGAAGUGGCACAUCGAUGGUACCGACUUCAGAAGAAUCCCCUGACACUCGAGUCUCCCCUUUCCAUAGAGUGACCACUUUAUGCUGAUGUUUACUGUAUUUUGGCAGUUACCUGUGUCCUGAGACCCCUGCAAGUAAACUGGAUAGACACAGGCUGGAAUUCAAUCAUCACCUGUAUUUGUGAUUUAAAGGGAGAUGUAUAGGUAGGAUGCUACCAGUUGUUAUUUUCUCUGUGAGUACAGUAUGUGAGCUGGCAUGAGCCACUGUUUAUGGUCCUAGUGCUCUGUCUGUUAUUCAUACAUACAGUGAGAUGAACUCUGCAGAGGGGAGGCAACAAACUGGGCUUAAAGAGAUAGCUAUAGAGAGAGAGAGAGAGAGAAAUCAUGCCUCAUCUAAUCUCCAUGACAUUACAUAAGCAUUUUUAUAAUGUUUUAUUCACUCCACACUGCGCUGGGUGACUAAGUGGUUGUACUUAGUGAUCGUGACCGGUUUUCUGGCCUAUUAUUUUUAGGAUUGCAUACGGGUAAUAUUGAAUACCUUCCAGUUACUACCUUCUAGUUACACUUAUUCCAGUUCUAGUGGACCACAGUGGUUAGUGACAGUUUCUCAUUGAAUGUGCGUUACUUCCCUUAAUCAGUAGACCACUAAUCAUGUGGAUUGAUUGAUCAAGACAGACUAUGAAAGAAAUACACAUCAAAUAUUUAUUUUUGUCAAAUUUACAUUACAGUUGUAUAAAUUACAAAAUUACCUUCACAAAUAAGUAACUUUUAUCAAAUAGCAUCUGAGAAAAAUUGUGUGAGUAAAAGUGCCUUUUAUCAUUUUUUUAAAGUCAAGUGAAGCAACAGAAAAACAACAGCCAUAAAACAUUGUACUCCUCCAAUGGUUGAAUCUCAGGAGAAUCAAGCUAGCAUCAUGUAGUCAUCCAAAGGUUGAAUCUCAGGAGAAUCAAGCUAGCAUCAUGUAGUCAUCCAAAGGCUGAAUCUCAGGAGAAUCAAGCUAGCGUCAUGUAGUCAUCCAAAGGUUGAAUCUCAGGAGAAUCAAGCUAGCAUCAUGUAGUCAUCGAAAGGUUGAAUCCCAGGAGACUCAAGCUAGCAUCAUGUAGUCCUCCAAAGGUUGAAUCUCAGGAGAAUCAAGCUAGCGUCAUGUAGUCCUCCAAAGGUUGAAUCCCAGGUGAAUCAAGCUAGCAUCAUGUAGUCCUCCAAAGGUUGAAUGCCAGGAGAAUCAAGCUAGCAUCAUGUUGUCAUCCAAAGGUUGAAUCUCAGGAGAAUUAAGCUAGCAUCAUGUAGUCAUCCAAAGGUUGAAUCUCAGGAGAAUCAAGCUAGCAUCAUGUAGUCCUCCAAAGGUUGAAUCCCAGGAGAAUUAAGCUAGCAUCAUGUAGUCAUCCAAAGGUUGAAUCCCAGGAGAAUCAAGCUAGCAUCAUGUAGUCCUCCAAAGGUUGAAUCCCAGGAGAAUUAAGCUAGCAUCAUGUAGUCAUCCAAAGGUUGAAUCUCAGGAGAAUUAAGCUAGCAUCAUGUAGUCAUCGAAAGGUUGAAUCCCAGGAGAAUUAAGCUAGCAUCAUGUAGUCAUCCAAAGGUUGAAUCUCAGGAGAAUCAAGCUAGCAUCAUGUAGUCAUCCAAAGGUUGAAUCUCAGGAGAAUCAAGCUAGCGUCAUGUAGUCAUCCAAAGGUUGAAUCCCAGGAGACUCAAGCUAGCAUCAUGUAGUCCUCCAAAGGUUGAAUCUCAGGAGAAUCAAGCUAGCGUCAUGUAGUCCUCCAAAGGUUGAAUCCCAGGAGAAUCAAGCUAGCAUCAUGUAGUCCUCCAAAGGUUGAAUCCCAGGAGAAUCAAGCUAGCAUCAUGUAGUCAUCCAAAGGUUGAAUCCAAGGAGAAUCAAGCUAGCAUCAUGUAGUCAUCCAAAGGUUGAAUCUCAGGAGAAUCAAGCUAGCAUCAUGUAGUCAUCCAAAGGUUGAAUCCCAGGAGAAUCAAGCUAGCAUCAUGUAGUCAUCCAAAGGUUGAAUCUCAGGAGAAUCAAGCUAGCAUCAUGUAGUCAUCCAAAGGUUGAAUCUCAGGAGAAUCAAG